GGGAGGCAGCAGUGGGGAAUUUUGGACAAUGGGCGAAAGCCUGAUCCAGCAAUGCCGCGUGCAGGAUGAAGGCCUUCGGGUUGUAAACUGCUUUUGUACGGAACGAAAAAGCUUCUCCUAAUACGAGAGGCCCAUGACGGUACCGUAAGAAUAAGCACCGGCUAACUACGUGCCAGCAGCCGCGGUAAUACGUAGGGUGCGAGCGUUAAUCGGAAUUACUGGGCGUAAAGCGUGCGCAGGCGGUUAUGUAAGACAGAUGUGAAAUCCCCGGGCUCAACCUGGGAACUGCAUUUGUGACUGCAUGGCUAGAGUACGGUAGAGGGGGAUGGAAUUCCGCGUGUAGCAGUGAAAUGCGUAGAUAUGCGGAGGAACACCGAUGGCGAAGGCAAUCCCCUGGACCUGUACUGACGCUCAUGCACGAAAGCGUGGGGAGCAAACAGGAUUAGAUACCCUGGUAGUCCACGCCCUAAACGAUGUCAACUGGUUGUUGGGAAUUAGUUUUCUCAGUAACGAAGCUAACGCGUGAAGUUGACCGCCUGGGGAGUACGGCCGCAAGGUUGAAACUCAAAUGAAUUGACGG
rnacentral:rRNA from 1 species